ensembl:lncRNA
AAAGGGGUUGUUUUACUGUUAUUUUAAUAUCAGCAUUAUUAGUGUAUGAGAAUCAUGCAACAAGCAUUGCAUCGAUGAUCAUUUAUUGAAGCUUUUGACCUUAUAUAUUAUAAUAUAUUUUCUCCUACUGUGCAUGCUGCUGAGUGACUGCUGCUCGUCAAACACAUUUAAUUGCAAUGUUGACCCUGUGCUAACUUGCAUAUGACAAAUAAAUCUGAAAACUGAAACUAAACUAAGGAAAGAAGGAUGGAAGGAAGGAUCACAUGCAUUGUCACAAAGGAAAGAAGGAUGGAAGGAAGGAUCACAAGCAUUGUCACAAAGGAAAGAAGGAUGGAAGGAAGGAUCACAAGCAUUGUCACAAUGCAUUGUCACAAAGGAAAGAACGAUGGAAGGCAGGAUGACAUGCAAUGUCACAAAGGAAAGAAGGAUGGAAGGAAGAAUCACAUGCAUUGUCACAAAGGAAAGAAGGAUGGAAGGAAGGAUCACAUGCAUUGUCACAAAGGAAAGAAGGAUGGAAGGAAGGAAAGACCACAAGGUUUGUCACAAAGGAAAGAAGGAUGGAAGGAAAGAUCACAAGCUUUGUCACAAAGGAAAGAAGGAUGGAAGGAAGGAUCACAAGCUUUGUCACAAAGGAAAGAAGGAUGGAAGGAAGGAUCACAUGCAUUGUCACAAAGGAAAGAAGGAUGGAAGGAAGGAUCACAAGCAUUGUCACAAAGGAAAGAAGGAUGGAAGGAAGGAUCACAUGCAUUGUCACAAAGGAAAGAAGGAUGGAAGGAAGGAUCACAUGCAUUGUCACAAAGGAAAGAAGGAUGGAAGGAAGGAUCACAAGCAUUGUCACAAAGGAAAGAAGGAUGGAAGGAAGGAUGACAUGCUAUGUCACAAAGGAAAGAAGGAUGGAAGGAAGGAAAGAUCACAAGCUUUGUCACAAGUGCAAUACUUUAAUUUUCUGCUGCUCAUUCCUGUGCAAUAUCCCAUCUGCCCUCCCGUCAUAUUUCUUUUCAAGAUUUUCUUAUUUAAUCACUAAUGUACAUAUAUUUAUAUUUAUAGAUACAUAUAUAUUCAGUCAUCUUUUCUCUUUUACCAUGUCUCUCUAAUAUUUUGCUCCUUACUAUUUUUCUAUUUUCUUUAUUAUUUUAUUUUAUUUUAAUAUAUUUUCUCCUACUGUGCAUGCUGCUGAGUGACUGCUGCUCGUCAAACACAUUUAAUUGCAAUGUUGACCCUGUGCUAACUUGCAUAUGACAAAUAAAUCUGAAAACUGAAACUAAACUAAGGAAAGAAGGAUGGAAGGAAAGAUCACAAGCUUUGUCACAAAGGAAAGAAGGAUGGAAGGAAGGAUCACAAGCAUUGUCACAAAGGAAAGAAGGAUGGAAGGAAGGAUGACAUGCAUUGUCACAAAGGAAAGAAGGAUGGAAGGAAGGAUCACAAGCAUUGUCACAAAGGAAAGAAGGAUGGAAGGAAGGAUCACAUGCAUUGUCACAAAGGAAAGAACGAUGGAAGGCAGGAUGACAUGCAUUGUCACAAAGGAAAGAAGGAUGGAAGGAAGAAUCACAUGCAUUGUCACAAAGGAAAGAAGGAUGGAAGGAAGGAUCACAUGCAUUGUCACAAAGGAAAGAAGGAUGGAAGGAAGGAUCACAAGCUUUGUCACAAAGGAAAGAAGGAUGGAAGGAAGGAUCACAUGCAUUGUCACAAAGGAAAGAAGGAUGGAAGUCAAGAAGGAUCACAAGCAUUGUCACAAAGGAAAGAAGGAUGGAAGGAAGGAUCACAUGCAUUGUCACAAAGGAAAGAAGGAUGGAAGGAAGGAUCACAUGCAUUGUCACAAAGGAAAGAAGGAUGGAAGGAAGAAUCACAUGCAUUGUCACAAAGGAAAGAAGGAUGGAAGGAAGGAUCACAAGCAUUGUCACAAAGGAAAGAAGGAUGGAAGGAAGGAUCACAUGCAUUGUCACAAAGGAAAGAAGGAUGGAAGGAUGGAUCACAAGCUUUGUCACAAAGGAAAGAAGGAUGGAAGGAAGGAUCACAAGCUUUGUCACAAAGGAAAGAAGGAUGGAAGGAAGGAUCACAUGCAUUGUCACAAAGGAAAGAAGGAUGGAAGGAAGGAUCACAAGCUUUGUCACAAAGGAAAGAAGGAUGGAAGGAAGGAUCACAUGCAUUGUCACAAAGGAAAGAAGGAUGGAAGGAAGGAUCA